UAGGGAAUCUUCGGCAAUGGACGAAAGUCUGACCGAGCAACGCCGCGUGAGUGAAGAAGGUUUUCGGAUCGUAAAACUCUGUUGUUAGAGAAGAACAAGGACGUUAGUAACUGAACGUCCCCUGACGGUAUCUAACCAGAAAGCCACGGCUAACUACGUGCCAGCAGCCGCGGUAAUACGUAGGUGGCAAGCGUUGUCCGGAUUUAUUGGGCGUAAAGCGAGCGCAGGCGGUUUCUUAAGUCUGAUGUGAAAGCCCCCGGCUCAACCGGGGAGGGUCAUUGGAAACUGGGAGACUUGAGUGCAGAAGAGGAGAGUGGAAUUCCAAGUGUAGCGAUGAAAUGCGUAGAUAUAUGGAGGAAAACCAGUGGCGAAGGCGGCUCUCUGGUCUGUAACUGACGCUGAGGCUCGAAAGAGUGGGGAGCAAACAGG
rnacentral:rRNA from 1 species